UGGCUGUCGUCAGCUCGUGUUGUGAAAUGUUGGGUUAAGUCCCGCAACGAGCGCAACCCUUAUCCUUUGUUGCCAGCGAUUCGGUCGGGAACUCAAAGGAGACUGCCGGUGAUAAACCGGAGGAAGGUGGGGAUGACGUCAAGUCAUCAUGGCCCUUACGAGUAGGGCUACACACGUGCUACAAUGGCAUAUACAAAGAGAAGCGAACUCGCGAGAGCAAGCGGACCUCAUAAAGUAUGUCGUAGUCCGGAUUGGAGUCUGCAACUCGACUCCAUGAAGUCGGAAUCGCUAGUAAUCGUAGAUCAGAAUGCUACGGUGAAUACGUUCCCGGGCCUUGUACACACCGCCCGUCACACCAUGGGAGUGGGUUGCAAAAGAAGUAGGUAGCUUAACCUUCGGGAGGGCGCUUACCACUUUGUGAUUCAUGACUGGGGUGAAGUCGUAACAAGGUAACCGUAGGGGAACCUGCGGUUGGAUCACCUCCUUACCUCAA
rnacentral:rRNA from 2 species